rnacentral:misc_RNA from 1 species
GAUGAAGAACGUAGCGAAAUGCGAUACGUAAUGUGAAUUGCAGAAUUCAGUGAAUCAUCGAGUCUUUGAACGCACAUUGCGCCCCCUGGUAUUCCGGGGGGCAUGCCUGUCCGAGCGUCAUUGCUGCCCUCAAGCACGGCUUGUGUGUUGGGCCUCCGUCCUCCUCCCGGGGGCCGGGCCCGAAAGGCAGCGGCGGCACCGCGUCCGGUCCUCGAGCGUAUGGGGCUUCGUCACCCGCUCUUGUAGGCCCGGCCGGCGCUUGCCGACACAUCAAUAUUUUUUCCAGGUUGACCUCGGAUCAGGUAGGGAUACCCGCUGAACUUAAGCAUAUCAAUAAGCGGAGGA